rnacentral:rRNA from 1 species
GACGAACGCUGGCGGCGUGCCUAAUACAUGCAAGUUGAGCGCUGAAGGUUGGUACUUGUACCGACUGGAUGAGCAGCGAACGGGUGAGUAACGCGUGGGGAAUCUGCCUUUGAGCGGGGGACAACAUUUGGAAACGAAUGCUAAUACCGCAUAAAAACUUUAAACACAAGUUUUAAGUUUGAAAGAUGCAAUUGCAUCACUCAAAGAUGAUCCCGCGUUGUAUUAGCUAGUUGGUGAGGUAAAGGCUCACCAAGGCGAUGAUACAUAGCCGACCUGAGAGGGUGAUAGGCCAAAUUGGGACUGAGACAAGGCCCAAACUCCUUCGGGAGGCAGCAGUAGGGAAUCUUCGGAAAAGGACGAAAGUCUGACCGAGCAACGCCGCGUGAGUGAAGAAGGUUUUCGGAUCGUAAAACUCUGUUGGUAGAGAAGAACGUUGGUGAGAGUGGAAAGCUCAUAAAGUGACGGUAACUACACAGAAAGGGACGGCUAACUACGUG